ACAAACAUCAGAGAGUAAGUACAACUCAAGCAAGGAUCUAGAGAAGAGGAAGUAACGUCUGGUUCAGACUGCACCAGUCAAAUGAUGUUGAAACUGACGUUGAAUCUUCAUGCUUUUCAUUUUUAGAUAUGUGAGGUGUGGCAAUGCAAAUGUUCCCUUUUUCCAUUGCUUUUAAUCUCCCUGCAACUUGAGAACACACCAAUCCAACAACCAGAUUUACACACAUUUUUACAAUGACUUUAUCCGGGUGUUUAACGUUUCUCAUGCUAUCAGUUUCUGUGGUGCGCAGUCAGACUCUGACUGAGUCUGAA